UCCUCUAUAUAACCACUGGCUUCGCUUCACAAAAGAACUUGGCCUGAGUUUUUUCGGUAUUUUUCACGAAUUGAAGAUGUCAGGCCGCCCUAAUCGCCAUAGUCGAAGACCUUCCACAGGAAUGCCUUCGCUUUUUUCUUCACAGGAGCUGUCUGAUAUAGCCAAAUCUCUCCAACAGCAGCCAUGCCAGAGUAACAACAAUACCAAUUCGGCUCCUCCAGUACCAGUUUCUUCAGUAACAACGCCCAAAGUUCCUGUCUCGCCCGACUCCCGUCCAGACUCCUAAUUGCAUUCAGUAUUUCUUGUGGAGCUCUCACUUUUGAGGUUUGGGGAGCGAACAGUUUAACUACUGUAGAAUGUUUGUAUCAGUUGUUCUUGGCAUAACAUAUUGUGUUGGUUGUGGUGGGGGAUGUUGUUUUGUUGUUUGAUGGAUUUUAAGUGUUGAAUAAUAUUGCAGAGGGACGUCAUUAUAGAUCUGAGAUCUCUGCUUAUAAAGCCGAGAAAAUUGGACUUC